GCAUUUAGAGCUUGUUUAAAAGUGUAAUUUUGAAGAAAUUAAGUAUGAGAAUGCA
rnacentral:tRNA from 1 species